rnacentral:ncRNA from 1 species
AUAGAUAGAGGUGCAUUUACAUCAGUAUGCCGUAACAGGUGUGGGAGAGCCUAUGACUGCGGCAGAAAGGGAAAAAUGCCGAAGAUAAUAAGUCCUCUCAGGCUUAAUAUCUGGUUGCUGUGAUUAAUAGUCCGGUGACUGUCAUUGUUUUCGCAAUGGAGAGCUAUCUG